CGCUGACUAAGGAGGAAGACAUGGGAUUGACGCGAUCCAUCAACGUCCUGGUAGUCGGUGCGGCCUUCGUUUUCGUCGUAACGAUACUCUUCAUCUGACGACAGGGCGAAACCCACAGACGACCCAACUCCGAAAGCUAACAAAACACCUAUUCCAUUAGAAAAGCGCAUGCCCGAGACGGACAUGCGCUUU
rnacentral:sRNA from 1 species